CACGUAGGGGGCAAGCGUUGUCCGGAUUUAUUGGGCGUAAAGAGCUCGUAGGCGGUUCGGUAAGUCGGGUGUGAAACCUCCAGGCUCAACCUGGAGACGCCACCUGAUACUGCUGUGACUCGAGUCCGGUAGGGGAGCGUGGAAUUCCUGGUGUAGCGGUGAAAUGCGCAGAUAUCAGGAGGAACACCAGCGGCGAAGGCGGCGCUCUGGGCCGGAACUGACGCUGAGGCGCGAAAGCCAGGGGAGCGAACGGG
rnacentral:rRNA from 1 species